GACGAACGCUGGCGGCGUGCCUAAUACAUGCAAGUAGAACGCACAGUUUAUACCGUAGCUUGCUACACCAUAGACUGUGAGUUGCGAACGGGUGAGUAACGCGUAGGUAACCUGCCUGGUAGCGGGGGAUAACUAUUGGAAACGAUAGCUAAUACCGCAUAAUAUUAAUUAUUGCAUGAUAAUUGAUUGAAAGAUGCAACUGCAUCACUACCAGAUGGACCUGCGUUGUAUUAGCUAGUAGGUGAGGUAACGGCUCACCUAGGCGACGAUACAUAGCCGACCUGAGAGGGUGAUCGGCCACACUGGGACUGAGACACGGCCCAGACUCCUACGGGAGGCAGCAGUAGGGAAUCUUCGGCAAUGGACGAAAGUCUGACCGAGCAACGCCGCGUGAGGGAAGAAGGUUUUCGGAUCGUAAAGCUCUGUUGUAAGAGAAGAACGGGUGUGAGAGUGGAAAGUUCACACUGUGACGGUAUCUUACCAGAAAGAGACGGCUAACUACGUG
rnacentral:rRNA from 1 species